rnacentral:lncRNA from 1 species
UUUUUUUUUUUUUUUGCUUUUUAGGGGCUCAUCCGUGGCAUAUGGAAGUUCCCAGGCUAGGAGUCGAAUCAGAGUUAUAGCCUCCAGCCUACACCACAGCCACAGCAACACAGGAUCUGAGGCAUGCCUGCGACCUACACCACAGCUCACGGUUAACUGCUAAGCCACGAAGGGAAUUCCGAAGCAUCAGUAUUGAUUGUCCGAGUUUUUCGGGAUACCCUUAUCAAUAAGUUAUCCUCGACUAUGAGUUAUUCUCACAAAUGUUCACUGGUAAGGAUGACACCAAAGUUGACACAUCAUUGCAUGUUCCAACAUGCUGGAGGCACAAACAGUAGGUCAUUACAAAUUCCAGCAGCUACUCUUUCUCCUAGAGAGGUGUGCCAAGUACGACUUGUAGUCCAAAGGAGGAGAAAGGACUAUUUCUCUUUCUAGAUACCAAUGUGAUGAAGCCUGAAGCUAAAGAUAUCCAUGGCAGUUGCUCAGUUAUGACGGGCAGAAGUAGGGCUAUAAGAAAUAACCUUUGUCUAUAGCAGCUACAGAGAGAACAAACAAGAUCUAAAGUUAGCAGAAGGAAAGAAAUCAUAAAGAUCAGAGCAGAAAUCAAUGAAAUAGAAAUGAAGAAAACCACAGAAAAGAUCAAUGAAACAAAAAGCUGGUUUUCUGAAAAGAUCAGCAAAAUUGAUGAACCCUUAGCCAGACUUAUCAAGAAAAACAAAGAGAGGACUCAAAUCAAUAAAAUUAGAAAUGAAAAAGAAGUUAUACCAGACAUCACAGAAACACAAAGGAUCAUAAGAGACUACUACAUGCAAAUCUAUGCAAAUAAAACGGAAAGCCUAGAAGAAAUGGACAAAUUCUUAGAAAAGAAAUACCUUUGGGGGAAAUACUUUGCUCAAAGCAGAGAACUUGUUUUGCUGUUUAACUUGUUCUGGCUCCAAGGGGUUCCACUUUCCUAACUCCCACUGACUAUAUAGAGAGUGAUCUGUAACUUUGAUUCAUUAUGUUUCAGAGUUUUGUUCAACUUAAAAAAAAAAAUUAGAAGCCCUGCCCAGUCCCGUGGGAAACCCAAACAACCUGUCUGAAGCCAGUAAGGCACCAGUAAUGGAGUUUCAGACACACAGAAUGAGACCAGCCCCAUCCGUAGAAAUACAAUGUGAGACACCUAUAUCACUUACAUUUUUCUAGUAAACACAUGUUAAAAAGUAAAAAGAAACAGGUGAAAUUAAUGAUAAUUAUUCUAUUUAGCCAAUGUAUCAAAAUAUAUUGAAACCCAUAUACUAUCCCUUCAACAGUGCUCAACAGCCGCAUGUUGUUAGCAGAACUAACACAGGAACAGUGGGGUCAGAGCCGUAAUAUCCCAAAGUUCUCCAGUUAGGGUUUGGUUUGGCUUUAACAACAAAUUUACUAAGUGAUCAAUCCCACUGCCCAGGGCUUCCUGAAUACUAUUCCUGGAAACUGACUACUAACAAGAGUUCUCAAUGUUUUAAUAAGUUAUUCUGCUAACCACUAUUUCGUAAAUAAACCUGUUUCGGUGGCAGGUCUUUUAUUUGUGCACGUGCGUUAAUGCAGACAAAACACAAAACCCGUACAACUCAACAGUUCUGAUGAUGAGAAACCUUAUUAAAACCUUCUUAGCCACAAGGAAAAGGGCAUUUUAAAAAGGCAAGGGUGAAAUGCGGGCUGAGCUGUAUCUCUAGAUAAAGUGAUCCAGCUACUGGUACAUCUGAAACAAAACAACCUCAGCAUGCACUGGUCCAGGGCUGUCACAUGAUCAUGAAGCAGCUACACCUUCUUCUUCUUUUUUUCUUUUUUUUAAGGGCCGCACCUGCAGCAUGUGGAAGUUCCCAGGCUAGGGGUUGAAUCAGAGCUACAGCUGCCAGUGUAUACCAUAGCCACGCCAGAUCUGAGCCACAUCUGCAACCUACACCACAACUUUGGCAACGCCAGAUCCUUAAGCCACUGAGCAAGGCCAGGGAUCGAACCCGCAUCUUCAUGGUUCCUAGUAGGAUUUGUUAACCACUAAUCCACGAAGGGAACUCCCAGCUACACCUUCUGAAACCAUUACAAACCCUCUCGGUCUAACAAAGACCAGUCACUAUUUCACUGAAAGUGCUUCCUCCUAACUAUCAAGCCUUCUCUCCAGGUUCUCUCUGACACAAACGUCUCCUUGCCAAACAUGACGUGAAGGUGAGAGACCCUCCUCUCGUGGGCCCCCCAAAUCACCUGGGACUGGUAGUUGGAGGCAGCCGUGACACACAUGAAAAUAAAUAGUGUACUUCUGGUGAACAAGGAGAUUAAGAGAGGGUAGAGGGAAAAGGUGGAGAGAAUGCAAAACAAGAGAAUGAAAGAAAAGCAAAUGAAUUAAGUAAUUUUAAAAAAAGAAGUAUUUGUUCUCUCUCAACAUCUAAGGAAAGGAGGGAGGAAGGGAGGGAGGAAGGAAGGAAGGAAGGAAAUGAAGCACUAAAAAUGAAGUACUAGCCUAAAGGUCAACUCUAGUUAAUAAUAAAAUCCAGGGUGAGUGUCUUAAUGCUUGAGUGAGGCAGCACACAAGCUUUCUGAUAUAACUAACUCAAGUGGAUUCACCAUGAAGCUAAUGAUGCUUAAGCAGCAAGGACCCUUUCAAAGCCCUGGGAAGAGCUCUAAUAUUUUUCCUAUGGUCACAUGUCCACAAAAUUUGCAUGCACACAUUAACACACACAAAGAUACUAUAAUCAGAAUCUUUUUAAGACUAUCUUUUUUCCAUUUUGGCUUCCACCUUAGUAGAUCUGUAUGGAAGUGGGACAGGGUAUAUUUUAAGAAUGUGGCUAAGGAGGAGUCAGGAAUACACUUACUUUGGGGUUUCGUGGAAUAUAUCUCUGAGGUUCACGGUCACCUCUGUGUAUUGUUAUGUCAUUGCUAGCUACCAUCACAGUGUAAAAAGGACUUCCAGGCACAACACUGACUCAGUGUCAUGACAUGAAGAUGUGAGACCAGCGGGCACAUGAUAAGAAUAUGUCCCAUGGCAUUCAGUACAAGAAUUAUGUGGGCACAAGAAGAGAACCAGGGUUUAAACUGUACAGAGGUCUAUGGAGAAAAAUCUUCCAACCCUCAGACAGGUCAAGUCAGAAGCUGAGGAUUUGCUCCUCAUCAACAUCUAGUCAAAGUUCUCCUACCAUGAAUACACUUGAUAAUGAAACAGAUAAGAUGAGAAAUGAACCACACUUUUUUUUUUUUUUUGGUCUUUUUAGGACUGCACUUGAGGCAUAUGGAAUCCCUUUAAAAAGACAAAAAAAAAAGAAAAAAAUUCUGGUAUGUAUAGACCCAAAACUAUGGCAGUUGAGUGCAACUGUAUGCGAAAUUGCUUGUUUUAUGUAUUCCAGUGAGAAAUAUUUUAAAAAUACAUUUUAAUAAACUACGCUAAAAGAGAGAUGAAAGUAUUUUUCCCUUCUCUAUAUAGAAAAUAUUACAAAAUUGUCAUGUGAAGAGGUAAUCAAAGAGUAUGCCACCUAAAAUGUAGGAGCAGAAGUAUUAUAAAGCUAUGUCCAUAAUGUGUUUGUUACUAAGCUGCCUGUUGCUCUGUAUGGUAUGAUAUUUGAUUAACUAUCGCUUUAAAAAAAAAGAAAUCUGGGAGUUCCCGCCGUCGCUCAGUGGUUAACGAAUCUGACUAGGAAUCAUGAGGUUGCGGGUUUGAUCCCUGGCCUUGCUAAGUGGGUUAAGGAUCUGGCGUUGCCGUGAGCUGUGGUAUAGGUCACAGACGCGGCUUGGAUCCCGUGCUGUUGUGGCUCUGGUGUAGGCCGGUGGCUACAGCUCCAAUUUGACCCCUAGCCUGGGAACUUCCAUAUGCCGCGGGAGUGGCCCAAGAAAUGGCAAAAAUACCAAAAAAAAAAAAAAAAAAAAAAGAAAUUUGACAUUUCUUGUGAUUUUUUUUCUCUUCCAAAAUAAGCAUUCAGGGAGUUCCCAUCGUGGUGCAGUGGAAAUGAAUCCGACUAGGAACCAUGAGGUUGCGGGUUUGAUCCCUG